AGCGUUGUUCGGAUUUACUGGGCGUAAAGGGCGCGUAGGCGGCCAGCGCAAGUCAGUUGUGAAAUCUCCGGGCUUAACUCGGAACGGUCAACUGAUACUGCGCGGCUAGAGUGCAGAAGGGGCAACUGGAAUUCUCGGUGUAGCGGUGAAAUGCGUAGAUAUCGAGAGGAACACCUGCGGCGAAGGCGGGUUGCUGGGCUGACACUGACGCUGAUGCGCGAAAGCCAGGGGAGCGAACGGG
rnacentral:rRNA from 1 species